AUUGAACGCUGGCGGCAUGCCUUACACAUGCAAGUCGAACGGCAGCACGGGAGCAAUCCUGGUGGCGAGUGGCGAACGGGUGAGUAAUAUAUCGGAACGUGCCCAGUAGUGGGGGAUAACUGCUCGAAAGAGCAGCUAAUAACGCAUACGACCUGAGAGUGAAAGGGGGGGAUCGCAAGACCUCUCGCUAUUGGAGCGGCCGAUAUCAGAGUAGAUAGUUGGUGGGGUAAAGGCCUACCAAGGCAACGAGCUGUAGGUGGUCUGAGAGGACGACCAGCCACACUGGGACUGAGACACGGCCCAGACUCCUACGGGAGGCAGCAGUGGGGAAUUUUGGACAAUGGGCGCAAGCCUGAUCCAGCAAUGCCGCGUGCAGGAAGAAGGCCUUCGGGUUGUAAACUGCUUUUGUCAGGGAAGAAAUCCUUUAGGUUAAUACCCUUGGGGGGAUGACGGUACCUGAAGAAUAAGCACCGGCUAACUACGUGCCAGCAGCCGCCGUAAUAC
rnacentral:rRNA from 1 species